rnacentral:rRNA from 1 species
GGAAGGCAGCAGGCGCGCAAAUUACCCACUCCCGGCACGGGGAGGUAGUGACGAAAAAUAACGAUACGGGACUCUUUCGAGACCCCGUAAUCGGAAUGAGCACAGCCCAAACCCUUUCACGAGGAUCCAUUGGAGGGCAAGUCUGGUGCCAGCAGCUGCGGUAAUUCCAGCUCCAAUAGCGUAUAUUAAAGUUGUUGCGGUUAAAAAGCUCGUAGUUGGAUCUCAGCGCGGGACGGGGGGACCGCCCAACGGCGGACAUCCCCCCGCCUCCCGGCAUUCGGCCGGUUUCCCCGGGAUGAUCUUCGCCGGUCGUCCGGGGUGACCGGCGAGUUUACUUUGAAAAAAUUAGAGUGCUCAGAGCAGGCGCGACGCCUGGAUAAUGGUGCAUGGAAUAAUGGAACAGGACCUCGGUUCUGCUUUGUUGGUCGUAGGAACCCGAGGUAAUGAUUAAGAGGGACAGACGGGGGCAUUCGUAUUGCGACGCUAGAGGUGAAAUUCUUGGACCGUCGCAAGACGAACCACUGCGAAAGCAUUUGCCAAGAAUGUUUCCAUUAACCAAGAACGAAAGUUAGAGGUUCGAAGGCGAUCAGAUACCGCCCUAGUUCUAACCAUAAACGAUGCCAGCCAGCGAUCCGGCUGCGUUCCUAGAAUGACGCGCCGGGCAGCUUCCGGGAAACCAAAGCUUCUGGGUUCC